GAUGAACGCUAGCGACAGGCUUAACACAUGCAAGUCGAGGGGCAGCACGAUUGAAGCUUGCUUUAAUUGGUGGCGACCGGCGCACGGGUGAGUAACGCGUAUGCAACCUACCCAUCAGAGUGGGAUAACCCGGCGAAAGUCGGACUAAUACCGCAUAAAACAGGGAUCCCGCAUGGGAAUAUUUGUUAAAGGAUUAAUUGCUGAUGGAUGGGCAUGCGUUCCAUUAGAUAGUUGGUGAGGUAACGGCUCACCAAGUCUGCGAUGGAUAGGGGUUCUGAGAGGAAGGUCCCCCACACUGGUACUGAGACACGGACCAGACUCCUACGGGAGGCAGCAGUGAGGAAUAUUGGUCAAUGCGCGAGAGCCUGAACCAGCCAAGUCGCGUGAAGGAUGACUGCCCUAUGGGUUGUAAACUUCUUUUAUUGGGGAAUAAUGGGUGGGACGUGUCCUGCAAGCGAAUGUACCCUAUGAAUAAGCAUCGGCUAACUCCGUGCCAGCCGCCGCAGUAACAC
rnacentral:rRNA from 1 species